rnacentral:rRNA from 1 species
CCUACGGGUGGCAGCAGUGGGGAAUAUUGCGCAAUGGGCGAAAGCCUGACGCAGCGACGCCGCGUGAGGGAUGAAGGUCUUCGGAUCGUAAACCCCUGUCAGCAGGGAAGAAAGGUCCAUGUGCUAACCAGCAGUGCAUUGACGGUACCUGCAAAGGAAGCACCGGCGAACUCCGUGCCCGCAGCCGCGGUAAUACGGAGGGUGCGAGCGUUAAUCGGAAUUACUGGGCGUAAGGCGCUUGUAGGCGGUAUGUCAAGUUACGGGUGAAAUCCCCGCGCUCAACGUGGGAACUGCCUUUGAAACUGGCAAACUGGAGUGUGUGAGAGGAGAGUGGAAUUCCAGGUGUAGGAGUGAAAUCCGUAGAGAUCUGGAGGAACAUCAGUGGCGAAGGCGACUAUCUGGCACAUAACUGACGCUGAGGAGCGAAAGCGUGGGUAGCAAACAGGAUUAGAUACCCGAGUAGUC